rnacentral:rRNA from 1 species
GACGAACGCUGGCGGCGUGCCUAAUACAUGCCAGUCGAGCGCGGAAGGGUGGUACUUGUACCAACUGGAUGAGCAGCGAACGGGUGAGUAACGCGUGGGGAAUCUGCCUUUGAGCGGGGGACAACAUUUGGAAACGAAUGCUAAUACAGCAUAAAAACUUUAAACACAAGGUUUAAGUUUGAAAGAUGCAAUUGCAUCACUCAAAGAUGAUUCCGCGUGUUAUUGGCUAGUUGGUGAGGUAAAGGCUCGCCAAGGCGAGGAUACAUAGCCGACCUGAGAGGGGGAUCGGCGACAUUGGGACUGGGACACGGCCCAAAAGCCUACGGGAGGCAGCAGUAUGGAACCUUCGGCGAUGGACGAAAGUAUGACCGGGCAACGCCGCGUGAGUGAAGAAGGUUAUCGGGUCGUAAAACUCUGUUGGUAGGGAAGGACGUUGGUUAGAGUGGAAAGCGCAACAAGUGACGGUACCUACACAGGAAGCGACGGCUAACUACGUG